rnacentral:rRNA from 1 species
GACGUAGGGCGCGAGCGUUGUCCGGAUUUAUUGGGCGUAAAGAGCUCGUAGGCGGCUCGUUGCGUCGGCUGUGAAAACCCGCAGCUCAACUGUGGGCUUGCAGCUGAUACGGGCGGGCUUGGAUUCGGUAGGGGAGACUGGAAUUCCUGGUGUAGCGGUGAAAUGCGCAGAUAUGCGGAGGAACACCGAUGGCGAAGGCAGCUCGCUGGAACGGUACUGACGCUGAGGCGCGAAAGCGUGGGGAGCGAGUCCGG